AUUGAACGCUGGCGGAAUGCUUUACACAUGCAAGUCGGACGGCAGCACGGGGGCAACCCUGUGGCGAGUGGCGAACGGGUGAGUAAUACAUCGGAACGUGCCCAGUCGUGGGGGAUAACGUAGCGAAAGUUACGCUAAUACCGCAUACGAUCUACGGAUGAAAGCGGGGGACCGUAAGGCCUCGCGCGAUUGGAGCGGCCGAUGGCAGAUUAGGUAGUUGGUGAGGUAAAGGCUCACCAAGCCGACGAUCUGUAGCUGGUCUGAGAGGACGACCAGCCACACUGGGACUGAGACACGGCCCAGACUCCUACGGGAGGCAGCAGUGGGGAAUUUUGGACAAUGGGCGCAAGCCUGAUCCAGCCAUUCCGCGUGCAGGACGAAGGCCUUCGGGUUGUAAACUGCUUUUGUACGGAACGAAAAGGCUCUGGUUAAUACCUGGGGCUCAUGACGGUACCGUAAGAAUAAGCACCGGCUAACUACGUGCCAGCCGCCGCAGUAA
rnacentral:rRNA from 1 species